rnacentral:rRNA from 1 species
GACGAACCGUGCGAACGUUGUUCGGAAUCACUGGCUUAAAGGGCGCGUAGGCGGACUGUCAAGUCAGGGGUGAAAUCCUGCGGCUCAACCGUAGAAGUGCCUUUGAUACUGAUGGUCUCGAGGGAGAUAGGGGCGUGCGGAACUUCCGGUGGAGCGGUGAAAUGCGUAGAUAUCGGAAGGAACACCGGUGGCGAAAGCGGCGCGCUGGACCUCUCGACGCUGAGGCGCGAAAGCCGGA